rnacentral:rRNA from 1 species
UACGAAGGGGGCUAGCGUUGCUCGGAAUCACUGGGCGUAAAGCGCACGUAGGCGGAUCUUUAAGUCAGGGGUGAAAUCCUGGAGCUCAACUCCAGAACUGCCUUUGAUACUGGGGAUCUCGAGUCCGGGAGAGGUGAGUGGAACUGCAAGUGUAGAGGUGAAAUUCGUAGAUAUUCGCAAGAUCACCAGUGGCGAAGGCGGCUCACUGGCCCGAUACUGACGCUGAGGCACGAAAGCGUGGGGAGCAAACAGG